CUUUCCUUGACGACGACUGGCGCACGGGUGAGUAACGCGUAUCCAACCUUCCCAUGACCACGGGAUAACCCGUUGAAAGACGGCCUAAUACCGUAUGACGUCGUUUGCCGACAUCGAAAGACGACCAAAGGUUUGGCGGUGAUGGAUGGGGAUGCGUCUGAUUAGCUUGUUGGCGGGGUAACGGCCCACCAAGGCGACGAUCAGUAGGGGUUCUGAGAGGAAGGUCCCCCACAUUGGAACUGAGACACGGUCCAAACUCCUACGGGAGGCAGCAGGC
rnacentral:rRNA from 1 species